UACGUAGGUGCAAGCGUUGUCCGGAAUUAUUGGGCGUAAAGAGCUCGUAGCGGUCUGUCGCGUCGGCUGUGAAAUCCCGAGGCUCAACCUCGGGUCUGCAGUCGAUACGGGCAAACUGGAGUACUGCAGGGGAGACUGGAAAUUCCUGGUGUAGCGGUGAAAUGCGCAGAUAUCAGGAGGAACACCGGUGGCGAAGGCGGGUCUCUGGGCGAGUAACUGACGCUGGA
rnacentral:rRNA from 1 species